UACGUAGGGUGCGAGCGUUAAUCGGAAUUACUGGGCGUAAAGCGUGCGCAAGCGGUUUUGUAAGCCAGAUGUGAAAUCCCCGGGCUUAACCUGGGAAUGGCAUUUGGGACUGCAAGGCUGGAGUGCGGCAGAGGAGACUGGAAUUCCUGGUGUAGCAGUGAAAUGCGUAGAUAUCAGGAGGAACACCGAUGGCGAAGGCAGGUCUCUGGGCUGACACUGACGCUCAUGCACGAAAGCGUGGGGAGCAAACAGG
rnacentral:rRNA from 1 species